UUAGAGGCAAACGGGUGGACCCGCAAUACGUCGACCCGGGGGAUUCAACCAGGCCGUGCGUUCGGGACGCGUGGGGGUUACGCGGAGCUGUAAAGCCCGUGCCUCUGCGCAGGUCUCCGGGCGGACUGGUGCACUUUCCUCGGGUUGAUUGCCACGACCGGCUCUCCGUGCGGCCACAAGCCUUUGCUGGGAAGGUGACCGUCGGCCUCCGCGCCGGCGGUGUUAUAGACCAGCUUGUUCGUUGAGCUCGUCGGAGGGCCGAGGAAGUGUUGCCGUUUCUCGUCCACCCUCCGGCCAUCCUUGCUCGUCACGACUGGGGUGAACUGCUUCGCCAGUGCUCUCCCGACCGCGAGCGUAGGAAGGGCUGGUACGGUGCGAGAAAGCUUCGGGCCAGUGGCGAAUCGGUCGGUCCUCCACCCGACCCGUCUUGAA
rnacentral:rRNA from 1 species